UACGGAGGGAGCAAGCGUUACUCGGAAUUACUGGGCGUAAAGGGCGCGUAGGCGUUCUAUCAAGUCUUGUGUGAAAGCCCCAAGCCUAACUUGGGAAGUGCACAAGAAACUGGAAGAAUAGAGUUCCGGAGAGGAAGAUGGAAUUCCCGGUGUAGCGGUGAAAUGCGUAGAUAUCGGGAGGAAUACCAGCGGCGAAGGCGGCCUUCUGGACGGUGACUGACGCUGAGACGCGAAAGCGUGGGGAGCAAACAGG
rnacentral:rRNA from 1 species